rnacentral:rRNA from 1 species
AUUAAACGCUGGCGGUAUGCUUAACACAUGCAAGUCGAACGGUAGCAGGCCUUCGGGCGCUGACGAGUGGCGGACGGGUGAGUAACGCGUAGGAAUCUGCCUCAUAGUGGGGGACAACGUAGGGAAACUCACGCUAAUACCGCAUACGCCCUACGGGGGAAAGCGGGGGAUCUUCGGACCUCGCGCUAUGAGAUGAGCCUGCGUUAGAUUAGCUAGUUGGUAGGGUAAAGGCCUACCAAGGCGACGCUCUAUAGCUGGUCUUAGAGGACGAUCAGCCACACUGGGACUGAGAAACGGCCCAGACUCCUACGGGAGGCAGCAGUGGGGAAUAUUGGACAAUGGGCGCAAGCCUGAUCCAGCAAUACCGCGUGUGUGAAGAAGGCCCUAGGGUUGUAAAGCACUUUCAAUAGGGAGGAAAACCUGUCGGUCAAUACCCGGCAGCUUGACAUUACCUAUACAAGAAGCACCGGCUAACUCCGUGCCAGCAGCCGCGGUAAUAC